AAACCGCUCUUCAUGUUCAGCAAUAAGUUUAUAAAAGGGUGAAAUAUUGUGGUGUUUGGCUCGUGGUAUUUUGUGUUGCCGCAAACAAAAAGGCAGAGUAAAGUUUAAAUAAUACUUCAUUUGCUUUAAUAAUUAAUUUAAUAAAGGUGUUUAAGUUCAUACUCUGCAAUAAAUAAAUUCAGUCUUCUGCGGUAAAAGGGGAAUGAAUUCUAUUGUAACCCUCUUCAUAAAAACUCUUUUAUUUUUGGUUGUCAUAAUUGUAAUCAUAAUAUUCUGUGGUUUGACGUAUAUAAAGCUAGAGUUAUGUUGGAUAUUGAUAUUAAUGUUUAGCCAAUUACCCAUCACCAGGUUUAGUACACUAAACAACCCAAAUUGAGAAUUCAAUGAAUUCGUGAAACCAUGAUGCAAAAUGGCGGUCUUCGUAAUACAGAGUUAAACAUUCUUGGAAGAUGAAAGGUCGAAUGACAGCGUUGUUCUCAAGCCACAUAUAAAGGAAGCACGCUUCACGACAAGUAACUUAAAACCUAUGAACGUUUUUCUCAUCAAGAACAAUAAGAUUUAAUUUUGUUCAAUCUGCUAGGCCCAUGUUGAGAGUUGUGGAAAUGACUCGGGGUCGAACAGAUCUCAUGAACUUAUAUCGUUUGAACCAGGAAAUACAAUAUCAACACAAUUCUGUACCCAGCUGUCUGUACAUUAUACAAUCUACAGUCUACACCACCUUUACCAAGUACUUGUUUUUCUGAGAAGAAAAAAUGGUGCGGAUACAAAGUAUUUGAACAAAUUAAUUUUUCCGUUUUAUUUUUUUAUCACAAUAUAAAGGUAUUGAACUGAAAAUGACGUUAAAAAUCACGCCGUCAACAAGAAACAUUAAAGGCACAAUACAAAUGCGCCGCGUUAAAAACAAAUAUUCAUCGCGAUUUGCGAAUCUUUUUAAAAACGAAAUUGUCAAACAUUAAUUUGAAGUCAAAACUAUCAUCAUGAAAAGCAAGAUAUGUAGCAGCCUUUAGAAAGCUUUAUUUAGCGAAUAUAUGCGCGGGUUAAAAAUAUCAACACGUUCAGUUGCUG